UGAAUACGAGACGCUAAGGCGUCGAAGUAGUGUAUGUCAUACUUCCAAGAAAAGCUUGCACUGUCAUAGAUAAAAAACGCCUGUACCAUAACCGACACAGGUGGGUAGGUAGAGUAUACUAAGCGGCGCGAGAUAACUCUCUCUAAGGAACUCGGCAAAAUAACUCCGUAACUUCGGGAGAAGGAGUGCCUUAUUCGUAAGGUUGCAAUAACAAGAUCCAAGCAACUGUUUAUCAAAAACACAGGUCUCCGCUAAGUCGUAAGACGAUGUAUGGGGGCUGACGCCUGCCCAGUGCCAGAAGGUUAAAGAAGUUGGUUAGCAAUUGCGAAGCUGAUAACUGAAGCCCUGGUGAACGGCGGCCGUAACAAUAACGGUCCUAAGGUAGCGAAAUUCCUUGUCGGGUAAGUUCCGACCCGCACGAAAGGCGUAAUGAUUUGGAUACUGUCUCGGAGAGGGGCUCGGUGAAAUAGACUUGUCUGUGAAGAUGCGGACUACCUGCACCAGGACAGAAAGACCCUAUGAAGCUUUACUGUAACUUGAAAUUGAAAUUGGACUUUAUUCGCGCAGUAUAGGUGGGAGGCGUUGAUUAUAAUCUUGUGGGAUUAUUGGAGCCAUCAGUGAGAUACCACUCUUGUAAUGUUAGAUUUCUAACUUUGAAUCAUUAUCUGGUCAAAGAACAGUUUCAGGCGGGCAGUUUGACUGGGGCGGUCGCCUCCUAAACGGUAACGGAGGCGUACAAAGGUUUCCUCUGAACGGUUAGAAAUCGUAUCUAGAGUGUAAAGGCAUAAGGAAGCUUGACUGUGAGACCUACAAGUCGAGCAGGGACGAAAGUCGGUCUUAGUGAUCUGACGGUACUGAGUGGAAAGGCCGUCACUCAACGGAUAAAAGUUACUCUAAGGAUAACAGGCUGAUCUCCCCCAAGAGUUCACAUCGACGGGGAGGUUUGGCACCUCGAUGUCGGCUCAUCGCAUCCUGGGGCGGUAGUACGUCCCAAGGGUUGGGCUGUUCGCCCAUGAAAGCGGUACGCGAGCUGGGUUCAGAACGUCGUGAGACAGUUCGGUCCAUAUCCGGUGUAGGCGUUAGAAUAUUGAGAGGAGCCUUCUUUAGUACGAGAGGACCGAGAAGGACAUACCUCUGGUGUACCAGUUAUCGUGCCAACGGUAAACGCUGGGUAGCUAUGUAUGGAGUGGAUAACCGCUGAAAGCAUCUAAGUGGGAAGCCCACCUCAAGAUAAGUAUUCUCAUC
rnacentral:rRNA from 1 species